UACGAAGGGGGCUAGCGUUGCUCGGAAUCACUGGGCGUAAAGCGCACGUAGGCGGACUCUUAAGUCGGUGGUGAAAUCCUGGAGCUCAACUCCAGAACUGCCUUCGAUACUGGGAGUCUCGAGUCCGGGGGAGGUGAGUGGAACUGCGAGUGUAGAGGUGAAAUUCGUAGAUAUUCGCAAGAACACCAGUGGCGAAGGCGGCUCACUGGCCCGGUACUGACGCUGAGGUGCGAAAGCGUGGGGAGCAAACAGG
rnacentral:rRNA from 1 species